CACAUAACCCUCGCGUCAUACAACUCGCGAGGCUCUAAUGGGCUUGGCUGUUGUAUGUUUAUUUCCCCAAGAAAGUGGGUCUAUAUACAUCUCAGAUAGAUAAAUACGUGAGCCCGGGCCUAUUCCGCAAGCCUAAGACUAGUAUAGAAUCACGCGAUGCUUUGCACACAUAUGGAAUAUGCGACUCAUAGGCGUCGUUCGAUUGACCGAAGUUUUUGAUCGUUCGAUCGAGCCUUAGUCAACCGGGCGAUUGUGUCACCUUCGUUCCACCUCCUUCGCUUCCUUCUAUGCAAAACCAACAAGCGCACAUCACGGGUGGCGCGACCACUGUCCCCCCUUCCCCGUCGUUGCACCUCCACCUGCCACCUCGCCCCCUCAUCUAGAAGUCAUCCCCCCAUCAUCCGCUCUGCUGGAUGCGCUCGUUGCCCUCAUCCCUGAUGGUAACAACCCCGUAUUCAUCCUCAUCACCCCUC
rnacentral:lncRNA from 1 species